rnacentral:rRNA from 1 species
AUCUAUGGCUGUACCACCCUGAAGGUGCCUGAUCUCAUCUGAUCUUAGAAGCUAAGCAGGGUCAGGCCUGGUUAGUACUUGGAUGGGGGAAAAGCAAUGCCCCAAGGAUCCUGUGCCACACAGGUAGCUGUGGAUC